GGCAGUAGGGCUCGUAGCAGUCGAGCGGAUGAGGGAGCUUGCUCCUUGAUUAGCGGCGGACGGGUGAGUAAUGCCUAGGAAUCUGCCUGGUAGUGGGGGACAACGUUUCGAAAGGAACGCUAAUACCGCAUACGUCCUACGGGAGAAAGCAGGGGACCUUCGGGCCUUGCGCUAUCAGAUGAGCCUAGGUCGGAUUAGCUAGUUGGUGGGGUAAUGGCUCACCAAGGCGACGAUCCGUAACUGGUCUGAGAGGAUGAUCAGUCACACUGGAACUGAGACACGGUCCAGACUCCUACGGGAGGCAGCAGUGGGGAAUAUUGGACAAUGGGCGAAAGCCUGAUCCAGCCAUGCCGCGUGUGUGAAGAAGGUCUUCGGAUUGUAAAGCACUUUAAGUUGGGAGGAAGGGCAGUAAGUUAAUACCUUGCUGUUUUGACGUUACCGACAGAAUAAGCACCGGCUAACUCUGUGCCAGCAGCCGCGGUAAUACAGAGGGUGCAAGCGUUAAUCGGAAUUACUGGGCGUAAAGCGCGCGUAGGUGGUUCGUUAAGUUGGAUGUGAAAGCCCCGGGCUCAACCUGGGAACUGCAUCCAAAACUGGCGAGCUAGAGUACGGUAGAGGGUGGUGGAAUUUCCUGUGUAGCGGUGAAAUGCGUAGAUAUAGGAAGGAACACCAGUGGCGAAGGCGACCACCUGGACUGAUACUGACACUGAGGUGCGAAAGCGUGGGGAGCAAACAGGAUUAGAUACCC
rnacentral:rRNA from 1 species